GAUAUAAGCCUCUAUGUCCCAGGAACUCUAUGCUGGGAAGAGCUCAGAGUACUCAGAGGGGAAUGAUAACGUGGGGGAUCCCUGCCACAUAUACACACUCUGCAGGGUUCCCAACUCCUAAAGCUCAGCUGUUUCCAGAUCAUUAGGAAACAUUGCCAUAGGGUAUAGGAUGCAGGGUAAUUCUCCUGUCCGCAAAUGAGUGUGGAACCCGGGACUAGAAUUGGCCAGCCUCAGGAGGCAGAGGCAUUCUAGGACAUUCUGAGAUCUGUCUGGGGCUCAGGAUGGUGAUAAGAGCCGAGAAGUGCCUUAUAUGGUUCCCAACAUGGCAUCGUGCUUCCCAGUGGCCUCAUCUUCUACUCAGGAAGGAGCCACGGCAUUUCCUCCCACAAGGCAACCAGCAUGUGUGCUCUGCCACUGAAGGAAGGGGCUUCCUGGUUCUCUGGGUGCAGAACAGAAUCUGACAAAUGGGGAUUCCGCUUCCUACCUGAUGAGUUCGUCCACCUCACAUGACCCCCAGAGAGAGGGCCAGUUUCAACAACGUGCCUUUUCCUCUGAGAACUGGAAGUUUUGGGUGGGUACGUGGCUACCAGGACCAGUGUUUAGCUACAGCUUUUCCACAUUUCAAAUACUAUAAUUCCUCUACUGAGACAUUCUGCAAAAGCCAGAAUAUGUGAAUCUCUUAAAA
rnacentral:lncRNA from 1 species